GUUGGGAGCUCUCCCAUAUGGUCGACCUGCAGGCGGCCGCGAAUUCACUAGUGAUUAGAGUUUGAUCAUGGCUCAGAACGAACGCUGGCGGCAUGCCUAACACAUGCAAGUCGAACGAAGGCUUCGGCCUUAGUGGCGCACGGGUGCGUAACGCGUGGGAAUCUACCCCUUGGUUCGGAAUAACAGUUAGAAAUGACUGCUAAUACCGGAUGACGACGUAAGUCCAAAGAUUUAUCGCCGAGGGAUGAGCCCGCGUAGGAUUAGCUAGUUGGUGUGGUAAAGGCGCACCAAGGCGACGAUCCUUAGCUGGUCUGAGAGGAUGAUCAGCCACACUGGGACUGAGACACGGCCCAGACUCCUACGGGAGGCAGCAGUGGGGAAUAUUGGACAAUGGGCGAAAGCCUGAUCCAGCAAUGCCGCGUGAGUGAUGAAGGCCUUAGGGUUGUAAAGCUCUUUUACCCGGGAUGAUAAUGACAGUACCGGGAGAAUAAGCUCCGGCUAACUCCGUGCCAGCAGCCGCGGUAAUACGAAUCGAAUUCCCGCGGCCGCCAUGGCGGCCGGGAGCAUGCGACG
rnacentral:rRNA from 1 species